UAGAAUGUCAUUCAACUCUCUGUUUUGGUGUAAAAUUGUUUGAAACGAAAAGGGUUUCUUAAUUUAAUUAGAUGGUGCCCCCUGCAGUGCCCCCUGCAGUGCCCUAACCGGCGGCGGCGAGUCGCGAUCCUCUCCGGCGACGGCGGGGACCCAGCAGAUUUGGAGUGAAAUGAACACAAACGUAUAACUUGGGCAAGCAUUCACGCAUAGCUUCACUCGUGAAAUCAAUUUCGUCGAAAACUUUGGGCAAAACCUGUGCGAGAUUGCCAAUUUUCGUUGAAUCGGUUUCCCCAGGCUCAAGUUUGGCAGCGUGUUAGCUCGGGGAAGUUACUAAGGCAAUAAUGUGGCAACUUGCACGUAUUUUUGCACAAAUUAUGGUGCAAAAUUAUAACCCAUGCGAAAACUUAGGGACACCCUGCCCAAGUUUUAGCCUAGAUUAUUUGGUUUCUCUUUGGUGAAAACCCGUGCAGGCUGGUCCUUGUUUGUUGAACAUGUCUUUUAUUUGGGCACAAUCUUGGCGGAGCCAAAAAGAAUAGUGGCUUUGUAAAUGGGGGAACUUGGACUUUUUUUUACUCAGGUUGGGGUGAAAGCUGAUAACCCAUGUGAACCCUAGUUUUGAUUUAAGUUUUUUGACAGAAUAUUUGUGCA